GCUAGCGUUGUUCGGAAUUACUGGGCGUAAAGCGCGCGUAGGCGGCUUUGUAAGUUAGAGGUGAAAGCCCGGGGCUCAACUCCGGAACUGCCUUUAAGACUGCAUCGCUUGAAUCCGGGAGAGGUGAGUGGAAUUCCGAGUGUAGAGGUGAAAUUCGUAGAUAUUCGGAAGAACACCAGUGGCGAAGGCGGCUCACUGGACCGGCAUUGACGCUGAGGUGCGAAAGCGUGGGGAACAAACAGG
rnacentral:rRNA from 1 species